AAUAACUCAAUUAGUCUUGUGCAGACGCCCGCCCGUGGCGCUUAUCAACUGGCAGCACGUUACGCGAGUGUCGAGUGUUGUGUUGUGUGGGGGAGUGCUAAGGGGGUGGGAGUGAAGUGCAUUUCGCUUGGCGUUAACUUCGUUUCAUUUGCUGCUGCUUCUUCGGUAAAAGUUAUUUGGAGCAAAGCGCGUUGAUGAAGAAGUCCAUAAAGGUGCGAAGCAAAGCCCGGCGGCUUGGACCUGCAGCUGCUCACACUUUUUGCCUGCCCUCUCUGCUCCAAUCUCUUUCGUUCGCUCUCGCUCUGCUUGAGUGCAUGGCAACGGCAAGAAGCAACAACAAAGAGCAAACUUGAUGCUAGAGGGCGCCAUAGCAAAUGGCAAAUAAAUAAAAGCAGCCAGCAACAACAACAACAAGGACAGAGAGCUGCUGCUGCUGCUGCUACUGCCAAGCAUUUUCAAUAACAUUUCAAAAUUCUGGUUCAAAGGAAAGCGAUUCAAUAAAUUAAAUGUGUCCACAGUAAAAAACUUUCAGUAACAGUAAAGUGGAUGGCUCAGAAAGGAACUGCUUUGUAAACAGCUUCACAAAAAAUGUCAUAACACAUUGAACAAAGAAAACGAAGGCAGCUUUUUGUGGGCAGCUAAUAAGAGUAAAUCAGGCGAAAGCAGAGCUUUAAUGUGCUUUCCGUGUGCAGCUGCUUUUGCUGCUUGCUGCUGUUGCACACACAACAAUGUCCAGGCACUUGCCAGCAAAAUGCAACAACGAAAAAACAGCAAAAGCAAGCAAGGAAGGAAGAGCGGCUGCUGAGGAGAAAAGGAAAGCCACACACACAACGACAACAAUACUUGUUACUCAUUCAGAGAGAAGAGAGAAGAAAGAAGUAGCAAUUGAAAGAGAAAGAGAAAGAAAGAGAGAGACUUGAAGGAAAGGAGAAAGUACUAUGGAUAGCGUAAAGGAAACUGAUAAAAAGGAAAUAAUAUGGAAUAGAAUGCAUUGAUAACGUAAACAACCGCAAUUGCUCUUGAAUCCAGUGAAAAUUUAACUUUCAUCUCGUUACUGACGUUUUUGUCGCCUGUCUGCCUGGCAGGCAUUGCAUUGCGUACAACAAAUAUUUUUCAACAACUUCUCAAUGGCAGCAAAUGCGCACAGGAGAGAAAGAGGCAGAGAAGAGAAGAGAAGAGAAGAGAAAGAGAUUGGGAGAAGGAAGAGUCAUCUAAAGAUGCUGAUGGCGAUGAGGAUAGACGGACGAAGGAGAAAGACGAAAGGCGAAGACGAGACUGGAGACUGAGUUGCAUUGCUUGCGGCGUGGCAGUUUCUGUUGCUGUUGCUGUUGCCAGUCGCUGGUGUCGCUACUUGCUUUACGUGUCGGUGGCAUGCAACAAAAUUGAGGUGCAGAAACACGAGGAAUCACGGCAAAAAGACACAGAAAAGAUGCAGAAGUUGAUGGAGCGGCUGCUUGGGGUGGCUUCAAGUUUGUUUAGCAAAUUCUGUAAAUGUUAUGCGGCAGAGGAAGCAGCAGCAACAAUGUUGAUGGGGAAAUCGCAGUUGCAAAUUAAGAGAAAAGCUUCUGAGUAAAUCACAGUAACUGCAUUUUGUUUGGCUGCCAGUUUGUUGCUUAACUCGUUGUGGUUGCGGUUGGCCUUGAUUUAUUUGGCCCACGCGCCAAACGCAUGUUAACAAGAACCAGCAACAGCAACUGUUGUCACAUGUUGUUUUCUAUUUUUUUCAGGUGAACUCAAUAAUAUGGAUGAAUCCAAUAAGAUGGAUAAUGACAUUUCGAAGAGCGAUUUGGAUGGCUUUUACCAACAGGUAUCCAGCAAAGUUCAUCUUUACAAACUCAAAGCAAUAAGUCCUGUCAAAAAGCGCAAAAAUAUGACUGGGAUAGAACCAAAUUUCGCUAAUUUAUAUAUAUUUGUAUAUUACAUAGUUGCCUUAAAGUGACCAAAAUACGGUGAAUUUUCCCAUUUUUAAAU